rnacentral:snRNA from 1 species
AGAGGUGAGGGCGACCUGGCUGCAACAUCUGUCACCCCACCGAUGGCCAGGUUGAACUGGCUGGCUAGGCGGGGCCCCCUUCCUCCCUCACUGCUCCACGUGCGUCCCUCCCGAGGCUGUGCACUUGGCCGAGGACGGCCUUCCCUGAUAGAGGAUAGUCCAGGGUAGACACUAGCUGUGCUCCCCAGCCAGAACCUCCAAACCAGCUUUCCAGGUCCAUUUCCCAGACCAGACACAUCCGAAGGGGGCACUGUGUGUGGCCAUCUGCCUUUCUUU